rnacentral:rRNA from 2 species
AUACCGGCGGCUCGAGUGAUGACCGAUUUUAUUGGGCCUAAAGCGUCCGUAGCUGGCCAUGCAAGUCCGUCGGGAAAUCCACCUGCUUAACAGGUGGGCGUCCGGCGGAAACUGCACGGCUUGGGACAGGAAGGCUCGAGGGGUACGUUCGGGGUAGGAGUGAAAUCCCGUAAUCCUGAACGGACCACCGAUGGCGAAAGCACCUCGAGAGGACUGAUCCGACAGUGAGGGACGAAAGCUGGGGUCUCGAACCGGAUUAGAUACCCGGGUAGUCCCAGCUGUAAACGAUGUUCGCUAGGUGUGUCACUCACUACGAGUGAGUGAUGUGCCGCAGGGAAGCCGCUAAGCGAACCGCCUGGGAAGUACGUCUGCAAGGAUGAA